rnacentral:tRNA from 1 species
GGUUGUUUGGCCGAGCGGUCUAAGGCGCCUGAUUCAAGAAAACAAAUCUUGACUAUAGAAAACUAUAGGAACACUCAGGUAUCGUAAGAUGCAAGAGUUCGAAUCUCUUAGCAACCA